GUAGUCCACGCCGUAAACGUUGGGCGCUAGGUGUGGGACCCUAUCCACGGGUUCCGUGCCGCAGCUAACGCAUUAAGCGCCCCGCCUGGGGAGUACGGCCGCAAGGCUAAAACUCAAAGGAAUUGACGGGGGCCCGCACAAGCGGCGGAGCAUGCGGCUUAAUUCGAUGCAACGCGAAGAACCUUACCAAGGCUUGACAUACACCGAAAACUCGUAGAGAUACGGGGGUCCUUCGGGGGCGGUGUACAGGUGGUGCAUGGUUGUCGUCAGCUCGUGUCGUGAGAUGUUGGGUUAAG
rnacentral:rRNA from 1 species